AACGUAGGUGGCGAGCGUUAUCCGGAUUCAUUGGGCGUAAAGAGCUUGUAGGUGGUCUGGUAAGUUGGACGUGAAAACUCCGGGCUUAACUUGGAGAGGCCGUUCAAUACUGCGAGACUGGAGGAUGUCAGAGGGGAGUGGAAUUCCUGGUGUAGCAGUGAAAUGCGUAGAUAUCAGGAGGAACACCCGUGGCGAAGGCGGCUCUCUGGGACGGUACUGACGCUGAGACGCGAAAGCGUGGGGAGCGAACAGG
rnacentral:rRNA from 1 species